ensembl:lncRNA
CCCAGCCAGCCGCGUGUUUAUUCUGGGGCGAGCGCUGAAGGGCCUGUUGUCUGAAGCUUUGGCGGCGUGGGCACCGAUCGGACAUCUUCCGAGAAGGAGCGGGCUCCUGUUCCCACGUGGCCAACAGCCGCGAGAGCAGUUGGCCAGAUGGCCCUGAAGGUUCUGGCGGAGCGAGGCCAGGGCAGAUGUGGGCUGAAGGCGGCUGGGGCCUGGUCGGCCGGGGCUGGAUUACGAAGGGCACAUCUCAGCUCCAGGGAGACACAGCUCAAGUGCUCCGGCGUCACGUGCGGCUUGUGGCCCCCAUAUCGGAAACACAGCUUCCCAUGUGGAAGAGGCAGGAUGACAAGGUAGGGGUCUCUGAGGAGCUCAGACAGGAAGAGAUAAGGUCUGAGCUGGUGUCCACUGGAGUGGAGUGAAGGUGACUGCUUCCAGUGACAUCCCGGAGCUGGAAGUUGAUGGCUAUAGUGGGGUGAAUGGUGGCUCCCCAAAAGAAAUGUCUACCGAGAAGCUGUGAAUGCGACCUUAUCUGGAAAAAGGAUCUUUGCAGAUGUGAUUAAGUUAAGCGCCUAGAGAUGCAGUGAUUGAGUUAUCUGGAUGGGCCCUAAAUCCAAUGACAAGUGUCCUUAGGAGAAGAGGACACACAGAGGGAGACAGAGCCACAGAGGGAAGGGCCAUGUGGAGACGGAGGCAGAAACUGGAGCGAUGUGGCCACGAGCCGAGGAAGGUCCCGGGCCCCUAGCACUGGAGGAAGCCCCCCAGAGCCUUCAGACGGAGCACAGCCCUGCUGACACCUCGACCUUGGCCUUGCAGCCUCCAGAACCACGAGAGAAGACAUUUCCGUGGUCAGAGCCACCACUAUGGUCAUUUGUUACAGCAGCCCCUGCAAAACUCAUACACGGGCCUCCCAGAUACGGGUCAGCAGGCUCCCCGACUUCAGGGGGACAAGUGGGUGGAUGGCAACAGCACGAGCUGGAACAGCAGCUGCGGGGCUGAGCAGCUCCGAGGGAGGGUGAAGACGCACAGCUUGCCUGUGGAAGUGAAAACAGCUAACGCUUAGCAGACUUGCCGUAUGCCAGGCACUAUGUUAAAUGCUUUAAUCUCAUUAGCUCCAUUCAUCCUCUCAACGCCUGUGAGGCAGACACCACUCUAAUCUCCAUUAUACAGAUAAAGAAACUGAGGCACAGACAGGAUACCUCGCCCAAGGUCACACGUCUGGUAAACGGAGGAACCCACAUGCAAACCUCGACUGUCUGACCAUUGCAAUGUUUCUCUCAAACGCGUUGAGUCUCAGUAGAGACGAGCAGGGGACAGGCACUGAGCAGCGGCCACGGAGAGGGAGGAAGGACUGAGCGAGGACCAAGCAGAUCCUGGCUCACCUUUGGGCUGCCUGCGGUAAAGGGCAAUUUUAUCCACAUUCACAUUAGAAUAUUUUAGGUGGAUUAACUGUCCAUCGACUUCCCCGCGUCCACCUGCACAGAAGUCACGGCUGAAUGACCGGAAGCAGCACAGGCCUCAGACAGCAUUGCCGGCCGCCGGCAGAAAGCAGCCCAGUCGGCCCCCAAGUUGCCAGCGAGCCUGCAUUUUCCAUUUCCAAAAUGCAGCCUGCUCCCCGGCUUUGUCCCUCCAGGAAAUCCUGUUUGUGCUAUUUUGGGAAAAUUGAUGGCUUUUUUUUCUGGGCUUUCCAGAAGCCUGACAGAUGGUCCCAGAUUUGCACACUGUGUUUCCAGGGUGGCGCCCGAGACACUCUCUCGAUGAUUCUUUCUACUGUGUCAGGCGUUUCAACCAAAUGUGUUGCUUCAACAAAUAUUUAUUGAAAGCCUGCUGUAUGUAAAGUUCUGUGCUCGAUGCUGGGAGAUGAAUCAGAAGGUACUUAUUGAACAUUUAUUAUGCUCUGGGGCAUGUGGGAGGUCCAGUGCCAUCCCCAGAGGGGCUGGGGGCCCUGGAACGGAGCACAUUUACGAGGAGCCUCAUGCACACAUGUACACACUCCCUUGGAACAUUUUUAUACAAGCAGGAUCACAUUAAAAGAAAUAACCAGGGACGCCUUAAAAUGGAGAAAAAGUCAUGAAAGAACAGGGAGGGGACCGUUCGCCUCUGUGAGAGGGGAGUGUGUGUUUGAUAACGAACGAGGAGCUGGAGGCUUUUCUCAAACUUGCUGGAGACUCAACUCUUCUCCCUUCUCCCAGGAGAAAGGCGUGCCAAAGAGGGCAUGCAGGAGCCCGGAGGCUGCUUUGUAGAGAAGAUGCUGUUUCUGCUCUCAAGGAAAUUGUGUACCAAGCAGGGAGCUAAGAAAGUCCAGUGAAGAGGGACGAGAUAUUCCGCGGCAAUUAAGCCCCAGACCCUGCGUGAGUUCUGCAGCGACAGCCAUCAUAUGUUUUCCACAGCAAGAGGCUGCUUCUGGGUCCCCCAGGUCAAGACGGGUGAAAGGCAGCCUCAUCUUUCCAGUGAAUUCCAUCUGGGAUCUGGGAAUCCAUCUGGGAUCCAUCUGGCUUCGUAAGGAAGACCCAACUUCUAAUGCAGAGUGAUGCUGUUCCUUAAGGAGAAAUGGUUCCCAGCCAUGGUGAGCAGAUCACAGCCAGUGGUGGAUUUCAAGGUCAGCGAGUGUCCUGGCUCUGUCACCUCGACAUCUGGGACAUGUUGAGGCAGAAGCUCAGGAGGGGGGCCGUGCCUGCUGUCCCUCUGGCCCCGUAUGCCCCAUCCCAUUCUCAAGGCUGACUCUUCUCCCCACUGCCACCCCUCCAGGCUGGCACCAGGAGAAACCAGAAGGUUCUCUGAUCUUAAGGGUCUCCUUUAAGAAAACCCCAAAGGAUUUAUUUUUCAUGCAAGAUGAUAGAUUUAUUUUUUAAGUGCUUUUUUCCCAAUGCAUUUAAAAAAAUUACUAUGAAAUUUUUCAAGCAUAGAGAAAAGUAGAAAUACAACUAUGACCCAGAGUCAAUCAUUGUUAACGUUUUGUCCUCUCUCUCUCUCUGGCUAAGCCACUUUCAAGUAAAUUACAGGUACUAUGGGGCUUCAGCUGUCAAUACGUGGGCAUAUCUCCAAGAAGAAAUAAGAACAGGGUCCCACAUCUGCAGUGCUGCAGUCAUCUUAACUAAAUAAACAGUAACUCUCUAAUAUCAUCCAAUAGCCAGCCCGUGUUCAGAUUUCCCCAAUCUCCCACAAAUUAUCUUCCCAAUGGAUUCUUAAGUUGGGUCUUUACAAGCAGACAUGGCCAAUAAGGCUGAUCGACCAAGGAGGCUCAUUCUGGAUCUGAUUUUAGCCUGGGUGACAAAGAACUGUCCACAAGGGUUGACUUUGCCAAUCAAUGGCAGGGCACACCACACCAAGUGCCUGGAGUCGGGAGAGAGAAGGGAGAGAAUGGUCCCAUUUUUCCUUAAACCUUUAGUUUCUGGGAAACCAUAUUUCUCACAGGCCUUGGCCCAGCCCACUGGCUGUGAAACUAGACCCCUGGUUUCUGUUUCCUAUUAGGAAGGUCGCGUCCUCGCUGAGCGGUACAUUUCUUUCCCUGCCCCGUAAGGGCCCAGACACAAUUCUUUAGUUACUGACUUUCCCUUCUGUGGCUGAACUGCCCUGGGCCACCGCACCCCGUCACCACGCUCCGAACCGCUGCUCCCUAAGCCCAGCUCUGCCCAAGCAACACACUCAACAUGUGCGCACACACGUGCACACACGCACACGGGCAUACACUCACAUGCACAUACACAGGCAUGCACAUGUACACACAUGCAUACACUCACGUGCACAUACUCAGGCACGCACACACACUGAACGCACACAUACACAUGGACACACACAUACAUGCAGAUGCACACACGCGCACACAUGUACAUGUGCAUGCACACCGUACAUGAAUACAUGUGCACACAUACAUGCACACGUACAUACAUGAACACACACAUACACACAUGCACACGCACAGCCCAAACACACAAGUCCCUCCCUCCAAGGACAAAUGGAAACUCAGGCUCCCAGAAUGAGGCUUCCCCCCGCUCCCUCCCCUAUUCGGCCCCCUCCAAGGACUCCCCCAGCUUUGAUCGGCCCCCUGGCUCCCUCCCACCGUGGGGAAGGUUGCAUUCAGCCACCUCUGCUUGUAAACAAGACAAACUGGCAGUCCCUGCCGGGGGCGAAGGAGAAGCGAGCCCAAGAAACGGGAGGGACUCGCUGGUUUCAUUGCUCCGGUGGGCUCCCCUCGUUUUGGCCCCCUCUCUGGGCCCCCUUCCUGCCAGCCCUCUCUUGUUAACAAGAAAGAGAAUGUAAGCCCUUAGGUGCCACACAAGUCCCGUAAACAAAGACUCACACCGACCAAUCACAGAGUGGGACGGGGCAGGCUCUGCCGGGGGCCGGGGGGCGAGGGCCAGGGUUUAAGAGAGGCCCGGGCGGGGGGAGGCAACACCAAGGCAAAGAAACUAGAGUCUACAUUUUUAACGGGAAUUUGAUUCAAAACAGGAAGGAUCUUUUUAUAAAUCGGCCUGCAGAAACUUUGCCAAGGGUAACUCAGGCGUGUGGCAGCGCAGGCGAGGGUGCCUUCGCUUCACGGCGCUCUUCAUAGCCCCACAUCCGCCACAGGUAUGUCGUUUAAUCAUUUCCCUCUGAUGGAGGGAAAAACACGCGGCAGCCCCAUGGGAAGGAGGGAGGAUGGCAGACAGAGAAUGUUCCGGUCCAUUCCAGAAACCAAGCAACACGCAGCCUUCAGUUCUCAACUCUGACAGGUUUGCCCGGAGGACGCGGGUGCCCGUGGUGUGCGGAGCUCCACCGCGCAGCCAGGAAUGGAUUGAUCCAGCACCUAACAUGCACCAGAUCCUCAAACUGGGCUCUGGGCUUGUGAAUCCAGAAGCAAAAGAGAAGUGAGGUUCAAGGCUCACAAAGAACCUCCAGUUCGGUUAGGGUCACAGAAGAAAUCCAGUGGAUUCUCAUUAUUCGUGGUCGCUCUGUUCUGUGAAGUCACUGCCACUGCUCCUGAGGGAAUGUGGAGUUAGGAUCCUGCCAGCCUCCGGGCACAACGUGCUGGUCCAUACGUGCCAGUCAAUAGAUAGCCUCGUCAUGUGUGUUUUUCUGUCUAAAGAUGCCUCGUUGAAUAUAUAUUGUUGAUUGAUCAGCAUGAGACUGGCGGCCGGCAGCACAGGAGCUCAUGCCUGAAGGAAGCUCAUGGACACAGGGAUGCUCUCCGCAGGGCGCGUCACGGCCUUCCUGCCCUCGGCACCCUGGGCAGAGCUUCAGUGCUAUGCUUGGGCCCAUUUUAAACAGCAAGGUCGCCAAGAAAAACCACAAAAAUGCAAAAUCACUCACUAAACAGACUGCAAACAGCCACUCGUCAGCAGGACGAGAUGAAACAAGAACGCAGGGUCGCCCUGUGACCUCCGCUGGGAGCGCGCGCAUCGGACGACUCCACGCAUCUGCGAAUGACCGAGAAAGUGCCACCAGGGUUGAUUCUGGGCUUAAGAAUAAAUGCCAGUGAGUAGGCGAAUUCGCAGAUACGGAAACGACAAGUAACGAGGAUGGACCGUACUUACAGUAACCGUUACAGAAGACGUCCUGCAAACGAGGCAGUCCACGCAUGCCAGUGCACGGCUUUGCGGGGCUGACGAGCGGGACUGACGAGUGGGACUCGGCGGAAAAGAAGGACAGACGGGCCUGAACAGAGAGCGCCAGGACUUUUUUUUUUUUUUUUGCAAGAUUCAGCUCUUCCCAUGGGAUUCAGGGGCCUGGAAAGAAAAAACAACAAAGUGUUUUCUAAAUGUCGGCUUCCAGGGGCCACUUGCUCUGCCAUCUUGGACUCUGAGCACCAUGAGCACGGCUUCAAACAGCAGGAAUGGGUUUAAACUUUGCAAGAUGCUGGCCCGGCUGAGCUCCGCUUCCUCAUCUUGAAAACGGGUGUCAGUAACUCUGCAGGAAGGGGCUGCUGGGAGCAGCAGAGUGCUGGCUGACGGAUACUCGCUGCUGCAGUUACUAUUACUCCUCCCCAGGCUGCUAUCAUUAUUGUUGUUAUUGUUGGUUAUUAUUGUUAUUGCCAUCGUCAGUAUUGACUCCUCAGCCAGGCCUCCGGUCUCUAAUCCAUCACAGUCUUUGAUGGGGGAGCAGAGCCAGAUUUUGGGGAGUCUGAAGUUUAUGAAUUUCAGAGGCCUUCUUUAAAAGGAAAAUACAAAAUUACAAAUAAGAGGCUAGAUCCGGGGCCUUAGAGGGGGCUGUUCGCGUGAGGAGCCCUGAAGUUUAAGCUCCGUUACCUCCAGAGUAAAUCCACCUGUUUGGAUCUUAUACUGACACAUAAGCUAAAUCGUCGGUCACAUAUUUCUCUCUUAAUUAAUCAAUUA